rnacentral:rRNA from 1 species
UGACCAGACUCCUACGGGAGGCAGCAGUGAGGAAUAUUGGUCAAUGGCCGAGAGGCUGAACCAGCCAAGUCGCGUGAGGGAAGAAUGUCCUAAGGAUUGUAAACCUCUUUUGUCGGGGAGCAAAAAGGCUCUGCGGAGUCGUAUUGAGAGUACCCGAAGAAAAAGCAUCGGCUAACUCCGUGCCAGCAGCCGCGGUAAUACGGAGGGUGCGAGCGUUAAUCGGAAUUACUGGGCGUAAAGCGUUCGUAGGCGGUAUGUCAAGUCAAGGGUGAAAUCCCCGCGCUCAACGUGGGAACUGCCUUUGAAACUGGCAAACUGGAGUGUGUGAGAGGAUAGUGGAAUUCCAGGUGUAGGAGUGAAAUCCGUAGAUAUCUGGAGGAACAUCAGUGGCGAAGGCGACUAUCUGGCACAUAACUGACGCUGAGGAGCGAAAGCGUGGGUAGCAAACAGGAUUAGAUACCCCAGUA